UACGGAAUGUGCAACCGUUAUUCGGAAUCACUGGGCUUAAAGAGUCCGUAGGCGGCUUGUUAGGUGAGGUGUGAAAGCCCUCGGCCCAACCGAGUAAUUGCGCUUCAAACCGGCAAGCUAGAGGAGGAUAGAGGUGGGCGGAACUGAUGGUGGAGCGGUGAAAUGCGUUGAUAUCAUCAGGAACACCGGAGGCGAAGGCGGUCCACUGGGUCCUUUCUGACGCUGAGGGACGAAAGCUAGGGGAGCGAACGGG
rnacentral:rRNA from 1 species